rnacentral:lncRNA from 1 species
AUGGCCCGAACCAGCUCCAUGCCUUGGAGCCACAGAGCCACCGCAGGCACCUUCUGGCAACCAGAGUGGUCACAAUUUGAGCUGAAAGCUGAGCAGCUUGAAAAUGGACUUAUUUUGGCUGCAGCUGAACAUCCUCUGACUAUGAAAUGCUGCCACCAGAGAAUUCCAGGCAGAAUGGAGAGUGCCAGUGCCUACGAGGAAGAUGAGACAGAAAGGCAGAGCUCACGGUUACCUCGUGGCUCCAUGGUUGUCCCAAUUUCUUUAUAUAUUGGUGCCAAACUGCUAAAAUAUUGCACUUAGGCAAUGUCUGAUAAAACAGGUAUAUUUCUGAAAGCUUAAAAAAAUUAAAAAAAAAACACUAAGGUUUAAGAAUAUUUAACCUACAUGUCUCACUUGCAUAGUUUGUGUUUCAAGCAAAUAAUUUGUUUAAAAUACAAUUAUGUAUGAUAAAAAAAAAUCAGAUGAAUCAAUCAAAUUAAUCAGUCAAAGACUGGCAGUAUCGUGAAUUCACCCUUAAGAACAAUGAAUUAAGAAAAGCUAAUAAAGCUCUAUUUAAGAAAUAAAGAUAAUUAUUCUAACAUUUAGCAGAACUCUCUAAGGAUUUUUCUUUAAAUUUUCCCUGUUAAAACUUCUUGUGUCUCCUAAAUCCCAAUUUAAUUAUCUCUCUGCUUGCCAGACCCUGGAAGACAUGCUUGAGUCUGUUUUAUUCAAUUUAUAUUUGUCUUGGAGUUUUGCAACAACACACACACACACUAUCUUGUCCACUGGGGAGCUACCAAUACUGCCCACUGCAUUUGAAGAAAAGACAGACAGAAGAAAAAGAAAAUGAAGAAAAAACAACAACAAAACACCAUCAACAACAACAAAAAACACAUUAAUUUCUCUGAUUUGGGACUGAUUGUGUGAACACAGAGAGGUGGGUACAGCUCAUGCCUGCAUUUUGGAGUUGGCUUUCAUGGUUGAAGUGUAACUCACAUCUAACAGACUGUGGCUUCAUACAUCUCAUGCUAAAAUUCCAAUUCAUCAGGAAUUCAUUUAGGUUAAUUAAAGAUUUAGGAAGGUGUACACAGAGGAACAUUCCGGACCUGGGGCAACAUCCUGACCUUACGAGCUCAGUCAGAUUUUGUUACCAAUUUAGGUAGGAAAGGAUUCCCAUCUGGAUGGUCUCCCAUUUUCUCUUCUUGUGACCACCCUCAUGGUGGCCACAUGGUGCCAAGCAUCAUAGCAACAGCAGUCUGUUAUUAGAAAUUGAUGAAUUAAG